CCUACGGGUGGCAGCAGUGGGGAAUAUUGGACAAUGGGGGAAACCCUGAUCCAGCAAUGCCGCGUGUGUGAAGAAGGCCUGCGGGUUGUAAAGCACUUUCGGUUGGGAAGAAAAGUUUGGCGCCAAUACCGCCGAACCUUGACGUUACUGACAGAAGAAGCACCGGCUAACUCUGUGCCAGCAGCCGCGGUAAUACAGAGGGUACACGCUGUAAUCGGAAUCACUGGGCGUAAACAGGGCGGAGGGGGUCGAAAGCCCCGGGCGUAACCUGGGAACUGCAUUCGAUACUACAUGGCUAGAGUAUGGUAGAGGGAAGUGGAAUUUCCGGUGUAGCGGUGAAAUGCGUAGAUAUCGGAAGGAACACCAAUGGCGAAGGCAGCUUCCUGGACUAAUACUGACACUGAGGCACGAAAGCGUGGGUAGCAAACAGGAUUAGAUACCCCUGUAGUC
rnacentral:rRNA from 1 species